rnacentral:misc_RNA from 1 species
GAUGAAGAACGCAGCGAAAUGCGAUAAGUAAUGUGAAUUGCAGAAUUCAGUGAAUCAUCGAAUCUUUGAACGCACAUUGCGCCCGCCAGUAUUCUGGCGGGCAUGCCUGUUCGAGCGUCAUUUCAACCAUCAAGCCCCCGGGCUUGUGUUGGGGUCCUGCGGCUGCCGCAGGCCCUGAAAAGCAGUGGCGGGCUCGCUGUCACACCGAGCGUAGUAGAUUUUAUCUCGCUCAGGGCGUGCUGCGGGUUCCGGCCGUUAAACCACCUUCAUAACCCAAGGUUGACCUCGGAUCAGGUAGGAAGACCCGCUGAACUUAAGCAUAUCAAAAGCGGAGGA